CGAUCAUUGCACAGUAAAAAUUCAUUUACCGUUAAAAAUAUACUGUUAAAAUUCUACUUCAUCCACCACUCCAAGCUGGAUUGUGACUUUGGCAUUACUAAAAUGAGUCCUUCUUUCAUUGCUGAAUAAGAUGUGCUCAAUCUGACUUCUCGUGUUUGGGAAUAGGACGCGACGACAUUGCGAACAAUAGGAAAACGAUAUUCUAUGCCAAACAAUAAGUUUACUAUCGGCUUCCAGUGUCAAUAAUAAUAAAUUGUAAAUUUAUUGAAUAUAUUAAACGGUAGAUAAAGUGUUACAACCAUGCAUAUGUGAGUUAGAGCCUUUCCUUAUUUAUAUUCGAAACAACAUGAACUGAAACAUGGCAUUGACUUAAAUAAAUCUAGUCGUUACUCAUCAAGAUAGUUAAAUUAUCGGCUACUUUUCGUUUUUUAAGGUCCAACUCUUGUUCAACUUGAUUACGUUCCGCCAUUAAUUCCUUGCAUAACAUCAACUUGCUUUGUCAUUAAAUCAAUCUGCGAUCGUGAUAGCUGCUGUGAUUUCGUCCGUGUGAUUUCGGGGCACUCAUGUAGAUUAAGAAUUAUAGCAAGUCUCGAUAGUACUCGUGCCUCUUAAGACUUGGGAUUUGAUGAGUGACGCAAAUAAUGUGCAAACAAGGCUGCUUCUUAUUAAUUUGCGCUUUUGAGGGA